UACAGAGGGGGCAAGCGUUGUCCGGAAUUAUUGGGCGUAAAGAGCUCGUAGGCGGUCUGUCGCGUCGGCUGUGAAAACUCGGGGCUCAACCCCGAGCCUGCAGUCGAUACGGGCAGACUAGAGUGCUGUAAGGGAGACUGGAAUUCCUGGUGUAGCGGUGAAAUGCGCAGAUAUCAGGAGGAACACCGGUGGCGAAGGCGGGUCUCUGGGCAGUAACUGACGCUGAGGAGCGAAAGCGUGGGGAGCGAACAGG
rnacentral:rRNA from 1 species